CGGGCCGGGGCCCCGGGCGUCCUGAGCGCAGCGUCAGCCCGGGGGAUGCCUGCCGCGCUGCUGGCCCUGGCCAUGUCGUCGUCCUUCUUCAACCCCAGCUUCGCCUUCAGCUCGCACUUCGACCCCGAUGGACUGCAUGUCUAUGGUAGGAGAUACAAACUGCAGACGACUAGAAAGAAUUCUGCCCUCCAAACAAGCACUCUUCGUAAUUUGAGAUCUUUUCUUCCAGAUAUACCAGUGUUUUUUGUAAUCCUUCCUUUUUUGGGGGACCGUUUGGGCUGUUUUUUGUUAUAAACGUCACCGCAACGACCAUCUGUGGGAGACAUGCUUCCGUCUGCACUGGUAACGCACUCAUUCCUGGGUUCGCUUUUGUUCUGGGUUUGUGCGUCCUCCGGUCAGUCUCUUGGUGUAAAUUCCCAGACGAGGAAUCACUCGGCCAACGGGAGGGCCGACCCCAAGGGGCAGCUCUGUGGACAGCUCUCCCGCUUUCCCGUUGCUGCUGGGAUGCGCGCACAGGGGACCUGGCGGCGGGCUCUGGAGCGCGGGCUGCGGCUGGGGACGCCCUCCCUCUGGAAGCCGACGAGGCGUUUCGGGUCGCGCUCGUUUGAUUAUGGACGAGGCUGAACCUCUUCUUGUGGGCUUUGCUUAGUUGGCUUGUUUAUGAUGUGGGGGGUGUCUUAAGGUGCUUUUCUUAUUUUUUGCUGAUUGUGGGCCCUCUGUAGUCAGGACACCAGUCUUUUGAUCUCUGUUCUAUAAAUCCUUUUUCUUGGUGUGCUAUUUGCCUUUCAUCUGGGGCU